UUCACCCGGCAUAUGAAAGACGGGCGUGAGUGUGAAGAGAGCAGUAGAAAAGAUAGUACGGGCUCUUAAUGCCAUAGAGUAUAUAGAUUAUACUUUAUAG